AGUGAACGCUGGCGGUGGGCCUAACACAUGCAAGUCGAACGGAACCCCAGAAAGAGUUCGUCUUUAGGGGGGCUGGGGGCGGGCUGGGGGAGGAAUAAAUCGGAACUAAUUUUUCUGUGGGGGACAAGGAAGGAAAACUUAGCCAAUACCGCCAAACGCCCAAAGGGUGAAGCAGGGGGAUCUCCGGACUUGGCCAACUUGAUUGGCCCAAUGUCGGAUUGCUUAGUUGGCGGGGUAAAGGCCCACCAAGGCGUCGAUCCGUAGCUGGUCUGAGAGGAUGAUCAGCCACACUGGAACUGAGACACGGUCCAGACUCCUACGGGAGGCAGCAGUGGGGAAUAUUGGACGAUGGGCGAAAGCCUGAUCCAGCCAUACCGCGUGGGUGAAGAAGGCCUUCGGGUUGUAAAGCCCUUUUGUUGGGAAAGAAAAGCAGCAGGUUAAUACCCCGCUGUUCUGACGGUACCCAAAGAAUAAGCACCGGCUAACUUCGUG
rnacentral:rRNA from 1 species